CCCGGCAAUGAAUUGCCGGGCUAUUAUGGGAUGUCCCUACGGGACA
rfam:Desulfobacteraceae bacterium IS3 Ga0073107_10506, whole genome shotgun sequence.